GGGAAGAAAAAUCCGGAUGUAAAUAAUGUUCGGACGUGACGGUACCUCACAAGAAAGCACCGGCUAACUUAGUGCCAGCAGCCGCGGUAAUACUAGGGGUGCUAGCGUUGUCCGGAAUCACUGGGCGUAAAGGGUCCGUAGGCGUUUUGCUAAGUUGAUUGUUAAAUCCAUCGGCUCAACCGAUGAUCUGCAAUCAAAACUGGUAGAAUAGAGUUCGAGAGAGGAAAGUGGAAUUCCUGGUGUAGCGGUGACAUGCGUAGAUAUCAGGAGGAACACCAAUGGCGAAGGCAGCUUUCUGGCUCGAUACUGACGCUGAGGGACGAAAGCGUGGGGAGCGAACAGGAUUAGAUACCCUGGUAGUCCACGCCGUAAACGAUGAGUACUUGAUGAUGGAGGAUUCGACCCCUUCGUUGUCGUAGCUAACGCGAUAAGUACUCCGCCUG
rnacentral:rRNA from 1 species